CAUCACUGCUGCGCAAGGAUGUGCACAGGAUCAGGGACGAUCGACCAUAGCCAGGAUGGCAACCGACAGGACGUUGGAAUGGUCAGAAGAAAACCCCGCUUCGGCGGGGUUUUU
rnacentral:sRNA from 1 species